CAGAGAAGAAGAAAAAGAAUUGGAGGGGGAACAAGCACAAACAUCUCAACUGAAAGAAACUUGAUUGGAAUAAUUACUUCUUUGUCCCGGUCGGCACCAACAAGAUUACCUGGCAGAGAAAGGUUAAGCACUUACAGAAAAUGUCUUGAAUGUUGAGAUCCAGGGUCACAAGUGGGAAAUGGCUGCAGAAAACCUGAAUGGAUCUUCACUGAAUAACCAUGGAAACCAGGUAGAUCUUUCUGCUUCAUUUU
rnacentral:lncRNA from 14 species